GAUGAACGCUGGCGGCGUGCCUAAUACAUGCAAGUCGAGCGAACAGACGAGGAGCUUGCUCCUCUGACGUUAGCGGCGGACGGGUGAGUAACACGUGGAUAACCUACCUAUAAGACUGGGAUAACUUCGGGAAACCGGAGCUAAUACCGGACAAUAUAUUGAACCGCAUGGUUCAAUAGUGAAAGACGGUUUUGCUGUCACUUAUAGAUGGAUCCGCGCCGCAUUAGCUAGUUGGUAAGGUAACGGCUUACCAAGGCAACGAUGCGUAGCCGACCUGAGAGGGUGAUAGGCCACACUAGAACUGAGACACGGUCCAGACUCCUACGGGAGGCAGCAGUAGGGAAUCGUCCGCAAUGGGCGAAAGCCUGACGGAGCAACGCCACGUGGGUGAUAGAGGUCUUCGGAUCGUAAUACUCUGUUAUUAGGGAAGAACAAAUGUGUAAGUAACUAUGCACGUCUUGACGGUACCUAAUCAGAAAGCCACGGCUAACUACGUG
rnacentral:rRNA from 1 species